AGCGAACGCUGGCGGCAGGCCUAACACAUGCAAGUCGAACGGAUCCUUCGGGAUUAGUGGCGGACGGGUGAGUAACACGUGGGAACGUGCCCUUUGGUUCGGAACAACUCAGGGAAACUUGAGCUAAUACCGGAUGUGCCCUUCGUGGGAAAGAUUUAUCGCCAUUGGAGCGGCCCGCGUCUGAUUAGCUAGUUGGUGAGGUAACGGCCCACCAAGGCGACGAUCAGUAGCUGGUCUGAGAGGAUGAUCAGCCACACUGGGACUGAGACACGGCCCAGACUCCUACGGGAGGCAGCAGUGGGGAAUCUUGCGCAAUGGGCGAAAGCCUGACGCAGCCAUGCCGCGUGAAUGAUGAAGGUCUUAGGAUUGUAAAAUUCUUUCAGCGGGGACGAUAAUGACGGUACCCGCAGAAGAAGCUCCGGCUAACUUCGUG
rnacentral:rRNA from 1 species